rfam:Hahella chejuensis KCTC 2396, complete genome.
CUACUCACCUCGUGAGGGGUGGGGAUGGAGCGCCAGAACUCAGCCGAGGUCAUAGUAGGUGCGUUACCGCGUACUGAAGGAC